rnacentral:rRNA from 1 species
UUUUAGUUCAGAACAAAAAUAUUUUUUAUAUAUAAAAUUCUGAAAAUGAAAGAUUUGUUUUUUUAAAGAACAUUUCGCUAAAAGACGGGUCUAUGAAAGAUUAGGUAGUUGGUGAUUUUAACAGCUCCCCAAGCCUAUGAUCUUUAGUUGGUUUUAGCGGACGACCAACCACACUGGAACUGAAACAAGGUCCAGGCUAAUUUUUUGGCCAGCAGUGAGGAAUAUUGGACAAUGAACGAAAGUUUGAUCCAGCAAUACUAUGUGGAUGAAGACGGCUUUUGUAGUUGUAAAGUUCUUUCAUUAAAAAUGAUAGUGACUUAUUUAAAGAAGUUUAGUCCCGGCUAAUACUCGUGCCAGCAGCCGCGGUAAUACGGGAGGGGCAAGCGUUAUUCGGCAUAACUGGGCGUAAAGCGUUCGUAGACUGUAAAUUAAGUUACUUGUUAAAGUUUAAAGCUUAACUUUAAAUUAGCUUGUAAAACUGGUUUGCUUGUGCUUUAUACAGAAGAGUAGAAUUUUAUACGAAAAGGUAAAAUUUUAAGAUAUAUAAAAGAAUGCCAUUAGCGAAGGCGACUCUUUAGUAAAAACUGACGUUGAGGAACGAAAGUAUAGGUAGCAAACAGGAUUAGAUACCCUGGUAGUCUAUACUGUAAAUAAUGAAUGCUGUAAUUUAAUAUAGAAUUUUUUUUUCUUUUUUAGAUUUUUAAGUUAACGCUAUAAGCAUUCCGCCUGAGGAGUAUGAUCGCAAGAUUGGAACUCAAAGGAAUUGACGGGGGCUAAUACUAGUGGUGGAGCAUGUGGUUUAAUGCGAUAAUCCGCGCAAAAC